UAAACAAGCUGGUUAUCAUUUCUGAUGAA
rnacentral:piRNA from 1 species